rnacentral:rRNA from 1 species
GACGAACGCUGGCGGCGUGCCUAAUACAUGCAAGUCGAACGAACCGCGACUAGGUGCUUGCACUUGGUCAAGGUGAGUGGCGAACGGGUGAGUAACACGUGGGUAACCUACCUCAUAGUGGGGGAUAACAGUCGGAAACGACUGCUAAUACCGCAUAGGACAUAGGAUCACAUGAUCCAGUGAGGAAAGGUGGCGCAAGCUAUCGCUAAGAGAUGGACCCGCGGUGCAUUAGCUAGUUGGUAGGGUAAAGGCCUACCAAGGCGAUGAUGCAUAGCCGACCUGAGAGGGUGAUCGGCCACAUUGGGACUGAGACACGGCCCAAACUCCUACGGGAGGCAGCAGUAGGGAAUCUUCCGCAAUGGACGCAAGUCUGACGGAGCAACGCCGCGUGAGUGAAGAAGGUCUUCGGAUCGUAAAGCUCUGUUGUUAGAGAAGAACAGCGCAUAGAGUAACUG